GACUGUAGUCGAUUGUGGAGCGUUGUAUAGGCAAGAGUAAUUCUCACUUCAAUUGGCUCAUUAACGGCGACGGUCACUGAAGUAAAUCUGAAAGCGGCAAGGUCGCGACACUUUGAGACUACUCCGGCGGUGAUCUGUCCGCGAGUGACGACAGAAUCCGCUUUCGCGAUUCCCAUAUUAAAAACGAUAGAUUCACAUUUCUACAGACAUUGAAAGGAAACUCGAGCGAUUGCGAUUGACACGAGCCUUGCUAGGCCAAGGAUAUUCAGAAGAUUGCCCUCGAGUGAAACUCUUCUAUUGCGCUGGUUUUGGAGCUGGCAGUGAUGGGGAAAUAACUCGAAAGACUGCUGCUUUGGCUGAAAACGCUUUUGGUUGUCGAUUUGGCGUCAAUGCUCGUCGGAAUGGCUUUAAAAGGGAGAGCUAUUGAAGGGUCUCGCUUGAAACUCUUCUAUAGCCCUGAUGUCGGGGCUGACGGUGGGUGGCAACUAACUCAUUAUAGCCUGCUCCGCUUUUGUUUGUUCACGCCUGACUGCUCGCCUGAGUGACAGCCGCGCACCCCGUGCAGCACCUGUUACACAUACAUGCGACGCUGCGUCACUUCUCGGAAAGGCUAUAGAAGGGAGGGCUAUUGAAGAUUUUGACUUUAUUACGUAACAAAAUGUUCACUUUUGGAAUUGAGAUUUUACAUCAUUCUCUUGUGUUUUGUAUAGCUCUUUUUGUAUUGAAUCCUGAAAUAACAGUAAUCUUGAUGUAAAUGCAGUAUUGUACUUCAUUUAAUGAACUAAGCGUGUAGAUUUUAAUAAAUAAAAUGUAUCUGUGAAUA